rnacentral:lncRNA from 1 species
CAUCUCCCAUUUCUAAUCCUAAUCUUUGUGGAUUCUAAUCCUAGCCUCAAAGCACUCACAAGUCUGUGACGCCAUCAAUAUAGCCUUCACUGUUAAUUUAUUUCUAAUACUUAUAGCCAUAAGAAAAUAGUGUAAAGCAUCUCCAUCCUUGUUUGCUUCUGGUGAUUGUGGUUGGAAGAAGGUAUGGGAGCCCUUAUCAUCAUAAGUGUUCUAUAUUUUAUCUUGUUUGCAUUUUAUUUAACCUCUAAUUAUUUUGCAUUUCUCCUUGGAAUUUCUUAGUUGUAUGAUCUUUAUUUUAAGAAAGUUACUUUUUCUCCUCCCAAAAAUCACACUUAUUUGGACCUAUUAGUUGUUAAUUUGAUGAUUCUUUUAACAAUGCAUGCCACAUGUUUAUUAUCCUUUAAAUAAUACUUUUUCCAUCUUCAUAUUCAGAUUUGAAUUUGAUUUUUAUGUUGGGGUUUCAAAACUUAUCUGGUAUUAUGUUAAAAACAAAAUCCAUAUUUACUGAUAUAUGUAUUCAUAUUAAUGGGUAGCUUUGUAAAAAGAAAACAAAUUUUGAUUGUAGCCAAGUUUCCAUAUCAUGGUGAUAAGAAAUCCUAAAAUCCAUCACUAAGUCACUUAUGUUAUUUUCCAAUAGUUCUUUAGUAACAUAGUGUAAAAUAAAAUAUUUUGCUGCAGAAAACUUAAGGUGCUUUGUUAUGUUGCUUUAUGGUAUCAACCCAUUUAUAUUUGAGUGUGAAUUUGGUUUUCAAAGUUUAUGAGAUCUUGAAUGAGAAUAGAAUUGAAGUUUAUGUGUGUUUUAUUAACUAGAUUAGUUGUUACUUGUAGUUAGAGUAGAAUUUGAUUUGUUUAUUGAAUGUUAUUGACAUAUGUAUGAGAAGAGAUUUUAAAGCUGAAGGAGACAGCGGGAGAGCUAGUUUGUUUGUUAGACAAGGAGCUUACAUAAACCCAGGUGAGGGAGAAGACCAUUGUGGUCUUAGAGUAUUUCAUUGAAGUUUUCCUCUCUGAUUCCCUCAAAAGUCGGAGAGUCUUAUAGAUUAGGAACUCCCAUGGAAACUUGUUUUCAUGUAAGAGUCCUUAAUCUUUUUCAUGACGAUGUAUAGAGUCUUAGAUAUUUGAUUGUGCUGGAAAUAUAUGAAUUCAUUUUUGUGUAUAACAUAACGCGAGGUACUCGCUUAUGGUAUUACGUCGUCAUGAAAGGUGGUUAAAUAAUCAUGUUUGUAUGCAUGUGAGUAUUAUGAUAAAUUAAUAAUUGUUUUAUGUGCUGAAUGUUUGUGAUAAGGUUGUAAUUUAGAAAUAUCUCAAUUGUAAUGGCUAUGUUAUUGAUUGUUGUAUAGUUGUAUUGAAAUAGAAUAUAUAUAUAUAUAUAUAUGUGUGUGUGUGUGUGUGAUUGUUGUAUUGAUAUGGGAAAAUAUUAUUAAGUUGAUUAUUGUCUUGAUUUCAAAAUAUAUAACUUGAUUAUUGUAUUUAAUGAAAAAUACAUAUGUUAGUUGUUAUAUUGAUUUGGAAAAUACAUAAUUUCGAAAUUAAGGUUUUGCACAUUGAUCUUGGAUACUAAGUUAGCGUCUUGAGCUCGUCUAUUGGACUUGACAUGAUUUUGAUGCAUUGGAGCUGAGAUGACUAACUUAAGUGAUAAUUGUUGAAAUUAAAAUUAGUGGAAACCUUGAUUAAAAUACUCAAUGAGCUAACUUCGGUUAGUGUGCAUACAUUACAUUCUUGUAGUUGGAGUUGAAGAAAAUGGAAAGACACGAUGAUAGAAAUAUCAUUGGGAUUUGGAUAGGGGUGACAAUGAUGGUGAUUCGUCAAGAAGCCUUGAGGGAUUGCUUAGGUGGGACAAUCUAGUGAGGGUCUGGUCUUAUAAACCGUAUGAUCAGGAUAAUCCUACAUGCAAACUAAACAAUCUCUGACACCCCCUUGCGCAUUUCAUGAUCGGUAGAGAAGAAUCUUGAAACGGACUGGACUUACCACGUAAGCACCUCAAAUAGAGGUAAUUGGAAAACAAUUGAUAUUGUUAAUUGCCGUUGUUAAGGAUAUCUGUACUCCCGGUUGCUUUCCCACUAGGAUCUUGGCCUUCGGGUAUUGUAUUUUUGGUGGUGAUAGGUUGGUGGAAUUGCAUGCUGCAUUGCAUAAAAGAUAUAUUAAUUGUGGAUGUGAAUAUCCUCUUAUAUAAGACACUAACUCAUGCAUCAUUUGCAUAUGUUUGGCAUUGCUUGAUUAUGGCGUUGUUAUAGGGUGUCUCACUUUAAUGUUAUUUCUCUAUGUAAUUCCACGAUGCGGUCGUCGUAGUUGGUUCUUACUCCCUUUUCUUUGUCUUUUCUUUUGUCUAUACUAUGUGUAUGUUCAGGUUUGUUGCAGUUGCUCUAUGGAUAUCUAUUGAUCGAAAUAUAGAGAAGAAAAACUUAGCUGAUGUAUAGUUAAGUAUCUUUUUAUAUUGAGAUUAUUAGCUCUGAUUUAGGAAUACCCUUGAUCGUUUGAACUAAUUUUUGUACAAGUUAUAUUUUAUGAAAAAUACUUAGGAGUGAUUAUUUUUGUAUGCAACAUGUCUUUUAUAAUCAUUAUGUUAAGAUUAAUUUAAUGAUUUUGUAAAGCUAUAUAUUUAAACAAAUAGAUAAUUAUAUAAAUCAUGGUUUUGAGGUUGAAUGUGAUACCUCGUUUUUGGAUAAUGAUAAUAUUGAAUAAUUCUGCAUCUUGAACAUGUUAAUGAAAAUAAAUUUUAAAUUCGCUCUGAUUUUCUAACAAGUUGCCUUUAAUUUUAUUUAAAUUUCAUCAUAUUUUUAUAAUGAAGUCCUAAUUUCUAAGUUGCAAAAAUGGGGUGUUACAUCUUCUGUAUCAUCUGUUUCUGAUUCAUUUCCGUAUCAUCUUUUUCUUCUUGCUCCUCAUGUUGAUCAAGUUGACUAAGUUCUAGUUCGUGUUCCUGCAAUUUACCAAACAAAGCAGCCAAAGACAUUUUGGAUAAACUUUUCUUUUCAGAAAUUGCAGUUACCUUUGCUUGUCAUAUUCUGGUGAGUGAUCUAAGAACUUUUAAGUUUAAGUCACUAUUUGAUAGAACUUUGUCAAGGACAAGAAGCUGAUUGUUAAGAUGAGUAAAUCUCUUUUGUAAAUGAAGAAUCUUCUCUCUAGGCUUCAUGCGAAAUAUUUCAUAUUCCUGAGAAAGAGUGUUGAGUCUUGAUCUUUUUACUUCUUCUGUUCCUUCGUGUGUGGUCUCUAGAGUAUCCCACAUUUCUUUUGCAUAUUUACAAUUUGAUACUCUAAAGAAUUCAUCAAUACCAAGAGCAGAGGUGAGAAUGUGUUUUGCCUUCAAAUCAUAUUGUACCUUCUUUUUGUCUUCAUCAUUCCAUGAUGAUUUUGGCUUUAUUUCCCUUAUGCUGUUGAUAACAGUGAAGGGUAUAUAUGGUCCUUCUUCAAUGGCGUUUCAUAUGUCUAAGUCUUGAGAUUCAAUGAAGAUUAUCAUUCUGAUUUUCCAGAAAUCACUGCAUUCUCCAACAAAGCUUGGAGGGCGGUUGAUGUUGGACCCUUCUCCUAAGAAUGAUCUUGAGGCCAUCUUGAUGUAGGAUCGGAUUUNNNNNNNNNNNNNNNNNNNNNNNNNNNNNNNNNNNNNNNNNNNNNNNNNNNNNNNNNNNNNNNNNNNNNNNNNNNNNNNNNNNNNNNNNNNNNNNNNNNNUCUAUCCCCUUUCUAUUCACACCCUGUGAAAGAAAGUUUAUUGCAAUGAAGAAUUUCAGUGAUGGCUUUGGAUUGCCUUUACAAGUAUGAAAUAUUAUAACAUUUACAAUCCAAUCAACUCUCUUUGUAUACCUAGUAAUAAUGUUCAAUAGAUUUGUAAAACUUUGAAACAAUUACUUCAAGUAACUCAGAAAAAUUCUCUUUUGAAAGUUUAAGAACUUAGUGCAAAAGUGCAGAAAAAUAGUGAGAGAAUUUCUCAGAGUUGUAUGAGAGUUGUAUAAAAGUUGUGUGGUUGUGUUGUGAGAGUUAGAGUCUUUAUAUAGACUUUCCAAACACCCAUGGUGUCUUUCUGAAAGUGUAGGAGUUGUUUGAAGUGAAGAGAUUUCAUUUGGAGUGAAAACAUUUCGUUUUGAAAUCUGAAAUCUCAUGCAACAGUCUUCAGUAAUCGAUUACUGAUAGUGGGUAAUCGAUUACCCAAACUCACUGUCCACUAUUUUAUUUAAAAACGAAUUAGAGUAAUCGAUUACACCAUUUGGGUAAUCGGUUACUCAACUUUUGUAAAACUGGUAAUCUGUUACUCAAAGGCAGUAAUGGAUUACACUGAAUAGUUUUAAGUUGGAUAACUCUUUUUCUCACACAUGUAACUUGUUACACACUAUUUAUAAAAAAUGUUUGAAGUAUUUUUAAAGUGUUUCAUUAUUCUUUAAAAAUAGUUUGAGCAUUACUACUAUGCAUAACUAAGAGUUUUAGGAUAGAAGUCCUAUAGAGACCUAAUCUAAUUUUCUUAAAGCUUUAAUCUUCUUUGUCUUCAUAAGUAUUCUUCAUUUUCUUCUUUUUGGUGAUUUUGGUGUCUUCAUCAAAACUUUGCCAAGGUCAAGAGCAAAGAUCUUCUUCACAUUUAAUGCAUGAUAAAGAUGAUCAACCACUAAAGACAAUAACAACUGUUAUUUACAAGGAAGUUUUCCAAAACCUCUAAGAUAUAUGAGAAUAAAGUAUGUCCUGAUGUGAGGAUGGAAGUUAUCUCCUCACACCCACUCAUUAAUAGACAUUUGUGAUAUUUUACUUUUUGUUUUCUUAUUUAUUCUAAAAAUAAAUAGAAAUUAGUCAUGUGUUAUUGCCUAACUAGUGUAAGGAGAGAAAUUAUCUUCCCACAUCAGGAAAUACUUUAUCCUCAAGAUAUAUUAUUGUUGAGCUUGAAUUAUGUUACAAUAAAUUAUUAUUUCAAUUUGUUAGUUGUAGUUCACUCUUUUUAUCUUAUGCCUUCACAUCUUACAAACAAUGAAAUUUUUAUAACUAGCAUGUAUACUAAAAAAAUAACUUAUCAUACUCUGGUUUUUAUUAUUUUCAACUUUAUUAGGUUAAACUGUUUAAGAUUAUCAAAUUCAAGAAGGACAAUGAAUAUGCAACGAGCUAAGAACAAUUAGGCCUAAACGUUCAAUUUUAUAGAUAGUAAAAUGGACUGGCAUUAUGCCCAAACAUUCAAUUAUGGAAGGCAUGUAAAAUUUUCCUAUUUGCCCAUUUUGUCCGGCUCAUUUUUCUGCCAAACGAACAGGUAUUUAUAUUGAUCAAUGUGGGCGGCUGGGAACAUAAUGUAAAGAAAUUUUUUUAAAUAAAUUACUAUGUAAUACGAUUUAAUGUUUCAAAAAAUUUGUGAUAUAAUAUGAUUUGGUCAACUUUAUAUAAAAUAUCAAAGUUUUUUCUAAUUUUAUGCUCAUUAACUACUUUAUUUAAUUUUUUUAUUUUUAAAUUGUUCAUCAAUGUUCAUGGGUCACAUGCAGUGCAUUAGCCCGUUUUAAAAUGGGCAUAACAUAUCAUUUUAUUUAUUAAGAUAAUAUGGGCAUGUUGGCCCCAGUGAAAUUUUUGUGAGCACAGAAAGAACGUGCAAGGCAACCCGUUGUGCCAUCUGUAAUCAAUUUCAAACACAUCAAUUAAGGUUUCAACGAUAUUUAAAGUAAACAAUAUCAUUUAUUUUCAAGCAAAGUACAUCAUUACAUAAUGUUCUCUCACAUUUACUUUAUACCUUUGUACUAUGCUAUUUUAGCUUUAUGCAAUAUGUAGCUACUGGUAUGAAUGGGUGAAUAUCCUACUAAUUUAGAUUAUAUAACAAAAAUAGAAUAGCAGUACCCUUUAUUAUUUCCAUUGUGAUUUAGUGUUUCCAAAGUUUUUUUUCAAAUAAUUAUAAAAUUAUAAUAAAUAAUAUUUGCUAUUAUUUCAUAUAAACAUUGUUAAAAACUUUUGAAAACUGAAUGGAGAAAAAUGAUUUGAGACGUAGAAAUAGGCUUCUGAUAGAUCAGUUUAAAAAACAGUAAACGCUCCUUUUUUCAUACAUGAGAUUUGAUUGAUUCGAGUAGCCCAUUUCCUUUUAUGUUUUCUUUUUAGUCCGUUCUUCUGUUUUUUUUGCUUCCUUUUUUGCCUAUCAGAUUAUAUUUGUUAAUUUGAUUGGAUUAGAUGUUAAUUAGUUGGAAGUAUGCAACUUUUCUUGGGAACAAAAUAUAUGCUGAUAUAAGGUGAUUAAUUAUCUCAUCUAGCCACUAAAAUUAUGACAUGUGUCAUAUUUAAUUAUUUAUAUUUCUAAAACUAAAACAAAAUAGUACACAUGUCAUUCAUUCAUUUGUAUUACUUAUAUUUAAAAGUGAAUGAUAAUUAACAUAAAUGAUGAAUAAUAUAGUGAAAAUGCAUUCAUCUUUUCUCUAUGAAGAAUUUUUUGUAGUCAUCAAAUUAUUAGAAAACAUUGUGUAAAGAUGAAUGUAAAUUUUGUAUUAUUGAUUGAUUGAUGAAGUUACAAUAGUCAGUUGAAUUUAUAUAAUGAGAAACAAGGCAUAACGACCUUACUUGAUAAGCAAGAAAGCCAACUAACUAUAACAACCAAAUGUCUUAAUAGAGCACGUGGGAUAAAGAGUUCUACUGCACUAUUACAGACUCAAAUACAAUGAAAUAAUAAUGAGAAUUACUACUGCAUAAUACAUAAAAGAGAUAAGCCAGAUAGAUAAUGUUGUGCACCAAAGUUGUCAUGUUGCACAAAGCAGACAUGAUCAUGAUUCAAAGCCUCGGUUAGGGAUAUUCUUUCAUGAGCAAGUUUUAGUUGAACAUCAUAAGCUAUCUGCAAAACCAAAAUAUAUGCAUAUUUCAUUAUCCUCCUCAAGCUCGAGAAUAAAUAUUAAUUAGUCCCAACUUUCCCAACAACUAGCCAAAAGGAAUAGGUGCUAAAGCUUUAGUGAGGAGAUCAACAACCUGUUCCUGAGUAGAUAUAGGUAGUAAAUGGACUAGUUUGUUUUGUAAGUGUUGUCUUAUUAUAUGGCAAUGAAUUUCAAUGUGUUUAGUGCGUUCAUAAUAAACUGAGUUUGUAGCAAUGUAUCUUGCAGAGUUGUUGUCACAAUAUAAGAAUGUUGGUUCCUUAUAGUUAGCUUUGAAAUCCUUGAGAAGAUAAGUUAGCCAUUGAACUACACAAGAACCAAUAGCUAAUGCACGAUAUUCAGAUUUAGAUGAGGAUCUAGAAACAAUGUUUUGUUUCUUAGAUUUCCAAGACACAAGAGAGUCUCCAAGAAACAUACAAUAAUCCGAAAUUGAUUUCCUAGUAUUAGGGAAAGUUGCCCAAUCCGAGUCACUGAAUCCCUUAAAUUGUAAGACAGGGGAAGCAAGGUAAUGGAGAACCUGACCAGGGGUGCCCUUGAUAUAUCUAAGGACACGAGUCAUAGCUUUGUAAUGCUUAGUAGUUGGGGCUGCCAUGAAUUGGCUUAGUUGUUGGAUGGCAAAACUUAGGUCAGGCCUUGUGUUGGUCAAAUAGAGAAGUCUACCAACAAGUUGUCUAUAUAAGAUAGGGUCAGGAAAAGGAUCACCGUCAUUUUGGGCCACAAUAGGAGUUGGGAUAGGCUUAGAGGUGAGAUAGCAUGUAUCAGAGAGUAAGUCCAGGGAGUAUUUCUUUGGCAUAAGGUGAUCCCAAGUUUAGAUCUUGCUACUUCUAGACCAAGGAAAUAUUUUAGGUUGCCAAGGUCCUUGAUUUUGAACUUGGCAUCAUAAUGUUGUUUAACAUGAUUUAUUUCACACAAGUCAUUCCCAACCAAAAUCAGGUCAUCAACAUAUAUUAAAAGAGAAGUCAAAUGAGAAUCAUUGGUUUUGCUAAAGAGGGAAUGGUCAUGAUGAGAUUGUUUGUAGCCUAAGGUAAGGAGGUUGGUGGAUAGUUUAGCAAGCCAUUGUCUGCUUGCUUGUUUUAAUCCAUAUAUGGAAUUAUUCAAUUUGCAGACAAGUUUUGGUUGGGAAGGAGUGACACCAGCAGGAAGUGUCAUAUAGACAUCUUCAUUAAGGUCACCAAGUAGAAAUGCGUUGUUAACAUCAAGUUGAUGAAUGGUCCAUCCUUGAAUAGCAGCCAAGGCAAGUAGGAAUCUAACUGUUGUUAACUUAACAACAGGAACAAAGGUUUCAUGGUAGUCAAAGCCUUUUGUUUGGUUGAAUCCUUUAGCAACAAGACAUGCCUUAUGCCUUUCAAUAGUUCCAUCAGAAUGAUACUUGAGUUUAUAAACUCAUUUUCAUCCAAUGGCAUGUUUAUCAGUGGGUAGAGGAACAAGGGUCCAUGUGUUGUUUUGAUGUAAGGCCAUGAGUUCAUUAUUCAUGGCUUGAACCCAGUCACUAGACUUAAUAGCUUGCUUAUAGGUUUUAGGUUCAAUGUGUGUGGUGAUGGAUAAGGUAUGUGCAAGGUGAGUGGAAGAAAAGGAUUGUAAGACAAAACAGUCUGUAGGGGGUGUUUGAUGGAAGGUUAUGGUUAGGAGAUAUGGUUGUGAAUAAAUUGUAGUGAUAAUCUUGUAGGUAUGUGGGUGGGUGGGAUGUUUCGGUGGAUUUUCUAAUGUUGGAUGGUUGAGUGGUGGGAGGAAUGAAGGGUAUAGGAUUAUGCUAGCUAAUUAGGACAAGGUUGUCAUCAAAUUAGAGAAAAGAGGAUUGAUCAUGAAGCAAGUUAGGUGGGUCAAUUGGUGCAUUAUUGUGUUGACUGUUGCUGUAAGGGAAUAUAUUUUCAUGAAAAAUGACAUUUCUUGAAAUAAAAAUGUCUCUAGAAGAUAGGUCAUAUAAGAUAGAACCUUUUGUUCCUGGUUUAUAUCCAAGGAAGACACAUUUUCUGGCCCUGAGAUCCAACUUGGUUCUACGGUUAACAAGGGUGGAAGCAUAUGCUAAGCAUAAAAAACUUUGAGGUUGUCAAGGUCAGGUUUCUUACCUAAUAAGGCUUGUGAUGGGGGACUGAAAUUGAGGACAUGAGUGGGGAGUUUUUUCAUCAAAUGGACAACAUGUUUAGCAGCAUAUCCUCAAAGCCUCUUUGGUAAGUUAGCUGGGAAAAGAAGGCUAUGAGUGGUAUUCAAAAUAUGUAUGUGUUUCCUUUCAACAACAGAGUUCUGUUGUGGUGUUUCAACACAUGAUCUUUGGCGAAUAAUGCCUAAUUGGUCAUAGAAAACAAGUUCGAUAAAUUCAAGGUCAUUAUCAGUUCUAAUGGCCUUGAUUUUUUGGUCAUACUGAGUCAUAAUGAGCCUAACGAAAUUCUGCAUAGUAUUCCUAGUCUCAAAUUUGUCCAUCAUGAGAAAUAUCCAUGUAUGCCUUGUGAAAUCAUCAACAAUGGUGAUAGAGUAUUUUUUACCAUGGAUGGUGGGGAUAACAAGGGCCCCCAUAUAUCCAUGUUAGUGUGACUACAACAAAAGAUCAAGAUGCCUUGGUCAAAGAAGAAGAUUGAUAUGAUAUCAUAAUUAUAGGGAUUGCUGUUAAAGCUUAUUAUUUUCAUUUAUUUGCAAUUGGUUAUUUCCUUGUAUAUCAUAUAGUGAUAUGUUGUAUUUAUACCCUACCAUAUUGAUAAACAGAUCAAGCUGAAUAAACAAAUUAUUCACAUGGUAUCAACAAGCCUUUAGGCUAACGCCAUACCCAACCUUUCUUCUCCUCCCUGCUUUCUCACGUUGUCCCUAUUUCUUCUUCUCCUCCUUCCUUUAUCAAUUUCUUUUCUUUUCCUUUUCUUAUGACUGGUGACCCCAUGGAUUCAUUACUCUCCCUCUCCACUUUAAUUACAUGAUCACCAUCAAACUUUCCUUUGUCAAUUACCUUCUUUGGCAAACUCAAAUUUUCCCUAUACUCCAUAUUUCCAACUUUAUCGGUUAUGUCAACAGCAACAUCUCCACUCCACCGACUCAUCUUGACGGUGUUGACAACCCAGCCUAUCUCACCUAGUCAACUAACGACAAGAAGGUCCUCACUCUCCUUCAACCUUCCUUGAUAGAGGAGGCUAUGACUGUUGUUAUUGAGUGCUACACAUCACGAGACACCUGGCUCGCUCUUGAGGCAACGUUUAGUGAUAAAUCCAAAGCUCAGGAACUUCGUCUCAAGGACGAACUUCAAUUAAUCAGGAAAGGAUCCAGAACUGUUCUUGACUAUGGCAAACACUUCAAAUCUCUUUGCGGUCAACUUGUUGCCAUUGGUCGAUCGGUUGAUGAUUCCGACAAGUCUCACUGGUUUCUUCACGGCUUUGGGACCGUUUUCUCCAGUUUUUCAGCCACUCAAAUGGCUCAGGUACCACUGCCUAAUUUUUCUGAAUUACUGUCUCGUGCAGAAAAUUUUGAUCUAUUCCAGAAGGCUAUGGAGGUCGCCGAACAAACACCUGCUGCAGCUUUCCUUGCCUAUUCUCCCAAUUCUGGGUCUCAUCAGACACCUCGCGGUCGUGGCAGAUCUGGUAACCGUGGUCGUGGUGGCUAUCACUCCGGUGGAAGUGGAAAAGGUCGUCCCAAAUAUCCUCCCAAGUGUCAGAUUUAUCGUGAAGAAUGUAACUAUGCAGAUAAAUGCCCACAACGCUACUCCACACACUCUACAAACUUGGAGGAAGCCUUUAAUGCUCCUGGCUCUCUUGCUCCGACAGUCCAAUCUGACUGGUAUAUGGAUACAGACGCUUUUGCUCAUAUGACUCCUCAUGCUACUAACUUGGAAAAUAUCACACCCUAUUUUGGUCCUAAUCAAGUUGUUGUCGGUAAUGGUGACACUUUAUGUGUUUCUCAUAUUGGCUCUUGCUCACUUAAAAAUUCUGUUAAAUUGCUUGAUGUGUUAGUUGUGCCGCGCCUCACAAAAAAUUUGCUUUCCAUCAGUAAGUUGACAAAUGAUUACCCGAUUGAUGUCCUAUUUACUGAUAAUUCCUUUACUCUUUAGAACCGGAUCACAAGACACAUUCUGGCCAAAGGCUAGCUUGAGUAGGGAAUUUAUGUGAUAGAACAAGGUCAUGCAGCUUUUUUGUCUUCUCUGCGGUCGAAGAAGUUACUGGGCUCCUUUGAUUUGUGGCACUCCCAGCUAGGACAUGUGUCUACUCAUAUAAUUUCAUUAUUAAAUAAUCAGGGACGUUUGUAUUUGACGUCUUUACUUCCUAAUCCUACUUUAUGUUCUUCAUGUCAAUUGGCAAAAAGCAAACGUUUACCUUAUCAGUUUAAUAAAAAAUGCUCAGAGCGUGUUAUGGAUCUUAUUCAUUGUGAUUUAUGGGGACUUGCCCCAACUCCUUCUAGAGCUGGUUUUCUUUAUUAUGUUAUUUUUGUGGAUGAUUAUUCUCGGUUCACAUGGUUGUAUGCUUUGCAGCACAAAUCCAAUUUUUAUAAUGUGCUCUUGCAAUUUCAGUCAUUUGUCGAAAAUCAAUUUUCAACAAAAAUUAAGACCUUUCAAAUUGAUGGAGGAACAGGGUUUACUAAUGCUCGGGUUCAGAACCAUUUCCGCACUUGUGGUAUUUUGCAUCGUAUGUCAUGUCCUUAUACGACAUCUCAAAACGGGCGUGCGGAACACAAACACCGUCAUAUUACUGAAACCAGUCUUACUAUGCUCUUUCAUUCACAAGUUUCAACAUCCUUUUGGGUUGAAGCUUUUAGCACCGCAGUUUAUACUAUUAAUCGGCUUCCUUCUCUUGUUUUGGUAGGAAAAUCACCAUUUGAGGUACUAUUUGGUGCUCUCCCGAACUAUGAAAACUUUCAUCCUUUUGGCUGCCGAGUUUUCCCAUGUUUACGAGAUUAUGUCACAAAUAAAUUCUUGCCUCGAAGUGCUCCAUGUAUUUUUCUUGGUUACAGUGCUAAUCACAAGGGAUUCCGAUGCUUUAAUCCAGCUUCUUCACGGAUGUAUAUCACUCGACAUGCUCAAUUUGAUGAGCAAUUUUUUCCAUAUGCUAAAACACAAUCUACCACAGAUAUUUCUGUUCUUAAUUAUUCCAAUUUCUGGGAGUCUAUCACACCAAUUUUAUCAUCUUCUCUUGGGCCUAAUGCACACAAGUCUCCAGUAGCUCAUCCUACUCCGACAGUUGAUCCAUCUAUUGGGUCUUCUCAGCCCGAUCUCUAUGGCUUUUGUCUUGAUGAUGUUGGCAAAUCUAAUUCUGUUAUAGAGGACUAAUUGCCCCCUAACGCAACAUCCUUGCCUACUCUAGAUACUUCUACUAUCAACACACUCCCUCCAACUCCAGACAUACCUCCCAUUCCACUGACCUCUACCCAUCACAUGGUGACCCAUGCCAAGGCAGGAAUUUUCUGACCUCGACAUGUAGCAGAUCUUGCAACUUUCAGCUCUACGAGCCUUCUCUCCGCCCUUGUUUCUACUACCGUGCCAAAAGGUUUCAAAUCGGCGGCUAAGAAACUAGAAUGGCUUGCUGCAAUGGACGAAGAAGUCUCUACCCUUCGUGCCAAUAAUAUAUGGGUCUUAGUACCUCGUCCCUCUAAUGCCAACAUCGUUGGUUCUAAGUGGGUGUUUCGCACAAAAUUUCACCCUGAUGGGUCCAUUAAGCGAUAUAAGGCUCGUCUUGUAGCUCAGGGAUUCACUCAACUCCCUGGUUUUUAUUUCACUCAUACUUUCAGCCCUGUCAUUAAAGCCUCCAUGGUUCGCAUUGUUUUGUCCAAAGCUAUUAUGCAACGUUGGAGUAUUCAUCAACUAGAUGUUAAAAAUGCCUUUUUACAUGGUUUUCUUAAUGAAACUGUCUACAUGGUGCAACCUCCGGGAUAUGUUGAUCCUCGAUUCCCCAAUCAUGUGUGUCGUCUUAAGAAGGCUCUCUACGUGCUUAAACAAGCUCCUCGAGCUUGGUUCCAUCGCUUUAGCACUUUUUUGGUAAAACUUGGCUUUGUGUGUAGCAGGGCUGAUACCUCUUUAUUUAUUUAUUGUUGAGGCUCAUGCUUGCUUUACUUGCUGGUGUAUGUUGAUGACAUAAUUCUCACUGGAAGUGAUCCGGCAGUUAUUCAUCAUCUUAUCUCUCGGAUCAACUCCGUAUUUGCCAUCAAGGAUCUCGGCCAACUUAAUUAUUUUCUUGGGUUGGAAGUCACGUACACGGAUGAUGGCAUUUUUUUGGGGCAAGCCAAGUAUGCUCGUGAUGUUCUGAUUCGUGCUCAAUUAUUAGAAUCGAAACCUAUUGCCACUCCCAUGGUGGUUGGACAAGCUCUCAUAAGCAACGGUCCUGAAUUUUUUGAUCAUACUCUUUACUGCUCAUUAGUAGGCGCUCUUCAAUACCUAACAAUCACUCGCCCAUAUUUAGCUUUUGCAGUUAACUCUAUCAGUCAGUUUCUUCACUGCCCCACUAUUGAACAUUUUCAGGCAGUCAAGCGAAUCCUACGCUACGUCAAAGGGACUCUUCAUUUUGGUUUGCGCUUCUGUAGAACCUCAUCUUCUGCUCUGAUUGGCUACUCGGAUGCCGAUUGGGCUCGUUGUCCUGAGACAUGCACUCCACCUAUGGUUAUGUUGUUUUUAUUGGUGAUAAUCUUGUUUCUUGGAGUGCUAAGAAGCUAGUUGUGAAUCUGAGUAUCGGGCCCUUGCAAAUACAGCUGUAGAAGUUCAAUGGAUUUCUAAUAUUCUUCGUGAGUUGCAUAUUCCAUCUACUAUUCGGCCAAUUCUAUUAUGUGAUAACCAAAGCGCCAUUUUCCUGAGUAACAAUCUAGUAGCUCACAAACGAGCAAAGCACACUGACAUCGACUAUCACUUCGUUAGGGAACUUGUUUCGACUGGAAAAUUGACCACUAAGUUUGUUCCUUCUCGGUUUCAAGUUGCGAAUGUAUUCACCAAGAGUUUGUCUCGUCCAUUGUUUGAAUUUUUUCGAUCCAAGCUUCGCGUUGUCACAAAUCCCACACUUUCCUUGAGGGGGGUGUUAGCGUGACUACAACAAAAGAUCAAGAUGCCUUGGUCAAAGAAGAAGAUUGAUAUGAUAGCAUAAUUAUAGGGAUUGUUGUUAAAGCUUAUUAUUUUCAUUUAUUUGCAAUUGGUUAUUUCCUUGUAUAUCAUAUAGUGAUAUGUUGUAUUUAUACCCUACCAUGUUGAUAAACAGAUCAAGCUGAAUAAACAAAUUAUUCACAAUCCAUGUGGAUGAGUUUAAAGGCAUGUGAUGCGUGUGAAGUGCUUUUAGGAAAUGGCAAUCUGGAUCAUUUUGCAAGAUAAAAAAAAUCACACACUUUAUUAGUAUCAAACUUCACAAACGGAAGUUGUUUCUUGGCAUGAUGAAGAAUUGAAAGAGAGGGGUGUCCUAACCUAAAAUGUCAAACAUCAAAGGCAGAGUUAAUACAGUUUUCUAAAGAACCAAUAGUGUGAGUAAUUUUGUCCGGGAAUACAUAUGUGUUAAGUAUGUAGAGAUUAUUAAGAACAUCAACAUAACCAAUCAUACUCGAGGUAGUCAUAUCCUGGAUGAAACAAGUAUAUUUAUCAAAAACCAGCUUGCAUCCAAGGGAGCAAGCAAGUUUAUGAAUGGAAAUCAAGUUAUAUUUGAAUUUAGGAAUGUAUAGAACAUUGUAAAGUAUGAGGUUGGGAUUAAGUUGAAUAUUUCCAUAAUGUUCAGAAAGGGCAAUAAUGUUGUUAGGAAGCCUAACAUGUAUAGGUCUAAUUUUUCUAAAAUUGUGAAGUUAGAUGCAUCAUUAGUGACAUGAUCUGUAGCUCCAUUAUCAAGAAUCCAAGAUUUAUUAUUGAGAUUUUUACCUGAGAGAAGAUGAUCAUCAGAAGUGGUUUCAUGGCUUAUUUGGUUGAUGUUGUGAUCAUUGUUGAUACUUAGUUGUAGUGUUUGGUUUUGAUGCCCAUCAUCAUUCUCCUUUUGUUCUACAUUGUUGACACCACUCUUAGCCUCAUGCUUAGUAAUUAUAUUGUUGAUAGAUCCAUUUUUUGGUUUGGAUUUGAACUUGAAAUUGGGAGGGAAGUCAUGCUUGAAGAAGUAUGUUUCAAUAGUAUGACCCUCUUUCCCACAGAAUAAGCACACUUUGUUGUUGGUGUUUGAUCCAGGUAUCUUGCCUAGAAUCCAUGUGAUUCCAUUUCCUAGAUACCUCCUUACUGUUUUGUUAUUGUAGUCUGGAUUGCCCAUUCAUGUGCUUCUAAAUCCUUGGUUUCUCCAUGGUUUGUUGGAGUUUAUUGAGUUAACUAUGUUUUUGCCUUCAUUGCAAGUUGUUCCUUCAUUAUGCCUUUCCUGUUGUAUUACCAAAGAAAAGGCUUUGUUUAUUGAUGGCAAUGGGUCCAUAAGGAGUAUUUGUGCUUUGACUGUAUUGUAUUGCUCACUUAGACCCUUGAGAAAGCAAAUAACAUAUUCUGAUUCCCUGUAAUUCUUGAUAGCUUUCAAAGCAUCACAGUUGCAUUGGAUUCUACAAGUGCAUUUGAUAACAGGUCUAAGAGAAUCAAGCUCAUCCCACAAGGUCUUUAAAUCAGUGAAGAAGGCUGAUACACUUCUGUCUCCCUGCUUUAUUGAAUGCACUUCUUGUAACAAAUCUGAAGUUCUAAAAUGAUCACAUUUUGAAAACAUUUCCUUGAGAUCUUCCCAUAAUUCUUGGGCAUUGUCUAUGUAGAUUGUGCUCUGGGCAAUUUGUUGUGUGAGUGAUCUUGUGAUCCAAGACACCACCAUGUUGUUGCAUCUUUCCCAAGAGUCAUAGUUUGGAUCUAUUUCUUUUGGAGCUUGGAUUGUGCCAUUGAUAAAUUUAAACUUGUUCUUUGAUAAGAGGGCUCUCCUCAUUGAUUUGGAACAUGCAUGAUAAUUUGAUCCAUCAGUGGUGGUGAAACCAGAACAAAGCAAGGGUUUUCACCUAGAUGAAGGUAAUAUGGAUUGUGUCGGAUCAAAAAUUGUAUAAUUGUGGCUGAUUUGAUCUGAUUGAGUAUCUAUGGCCACUAAUUGUGAAAGAUUAUUGAGAUGGAAUGAAAUGAGGAAGAAUUUUGUUGGAUGAUUGUUGAAAGAAAAGAGUGGUGCAAUGGAAGAAUAGAAGAAGGAAUUCAAGAUUAGGGGAGAGGAAGAUGAUGUGUUGUAUUUGAGAAAGAUUGGUGCAGCAGAGCUCUCAAAAAGAGAGCUCUGAUACCAUAUUGAAAAACAUUGUGCAAAGAUGAAUGUAAAUUUUGUAUUAUUGAUUGAUUGAUGAAGUUACAAUAGCCAGCUGAAUUUAUACAAUGAGAAGCAAGACAUAACAACCUUACUUGAUAAGCAAGAAAGCCAACUAACUAUAACAACCAAGUGACUUAAUAAAGCGUGUGGGAUAAAGUUCUACUGCAAUGAAAUAAUAAUGAGAAUCACUAUUGCAUAAUGCAUAAAAGAGAUAAGUCAGAUAGAUGGAUGUUGUGCACCAAAGUUGUUAUGUUGAACAAAGCAGACAUAGUCAUGAUUCAAAGCCUCGGUCAGACAUAUUCUUCCAUGAGCCAGUUUUAGUUGAACACCAUAAGCUAUCUGCAAAACAAAAUAUAUGUGCAUAUUUCAUUACAAAUUUUAGAGUCUAAUAUUCAUAUGG